rnacentral:sRNA from 1 species
GUUAUAUUACAGGGAGAAAAUAUCAGAUACACAGAAAGACUGGAAGUUCUUUGAGUCCUUUUACACUUUCUGUACAUAUGUGGCUUGGAUUGUCUUCCGACGUCAACACUUGACAGAGAUUGAAGAAGAAGUAGGGAGACUCUUUCGUACCAAUAUGUUCAACAUUCCUCGCAGGAGGCGUGAAGAUGAGGAAUCAGGAGGGGAAAAGAAACGCAUGACUUUUGUUCAGUUCAGGAGAAUGAUGGCAAAACGCCCAGCAAUUAAAAAAGCCAUCAACAUGCGUUCUCCAGUCAUGUCUACUCUGCUGCCAUCUCUCAGAGAAAAAGCUCAAAACGUCUUUGAGAAAAAGUAUCAUCAAGUAGACGUCAGAUUCCCAGCCGAGAUGCAAAAGCAUGUGGGAACUCUGGACUCUGUGCCCAUGCCAGUGUAAGUGGCUUGGCAAGAGAAGCAUGAGUGCCUUGAGGUGGCAUCCCAGGUGGGGCUGGAAGGGGCAGGGGCCCAGGCACCAUGCCUCUGCCAGGGAAUCGAGCCAUGAUGACAGCCCCCAUUUUCUUACUUCUGCCCUGCUCCCCUCCUAGUUUCCUUUCUAGAGAAUCUUGAGGUACACCCAUCUAGACCAGAAAAACAAUUGCUAGAAAGUGGUGCUAGACUCCAAAUAGUUCUAGUUUGGAGGAGUGAGUAACUGAUUUUUUUUUU